GGCGCGGGUGCGCGGGUGCGCCUGGUGGUUCAGACUGCUACCCGCGCCCCAUGCCGCUCUGGGACUCCCGGCGGUCCUCAGCUAUCCCGGAGAAUCCGUGAGAGUACUUUGCGCACGAAGCGCUGUGCCACCUCUGUGUUCCGGGCCGGAGUUGUGGCUGUCCCCAUUGCACACGCCGAGGUGAAGUGACAGUCUCAAAGUCCGGAGCCUGUUAGGGUGGAGGCCGCUGGGGACCGAGUUCCCUGAUUCCCGCUGCUUGGCGCGGGUCCUCGCUUCCCCCGGGGGCCCGGGCACAGGGCUUCUUCACCCACCGCUGUAUCCCCAGAGGGCUGCGUGUCAGGGAACCUGGAAGGAAGUAGCGUGUCUCUUGUGCUUGGCCGGGGAGGCUGAAGCAGGUCGGACUGAAGGAAAGAAGAGCCGAUCUGAGGUUGGGUGGCAGAGGGGCCAGGCUAGAUCAAUCAUUGAUUGGGUUAGAUAUUGACACUUUCCACUAUAAUGUCCUGGGGGUACAAACAGCGGUGGCCGCAAGGGAGGCCCGGGCGUUAGCCUCCCUUCCAAGCUCCUCCAAGUAGAACCUACAAGAGUGUUCUUUGAUAUGGGUAAUUGACAUGGUCUUACAUUUUUAUGGCACUCUCAGACAGGUUAUUAGAGGGAAGUUGAAUAAAUAGAGAAGGAAUGAAGGAGAAGUGGUGCGGUCCCAGGCCCGGCCACAAGGGGAGCUGUUACCACCCCAGACCUGAAGAGCAGCUGUAGCCACAGGAGAGACCCAGGUAGCGGGAGCUGUGACCUUGGGGAGAGGGACACAGUGACCUGGCAGAGAUGAGCCUGGUGAUUGAUAGACUGACCUCGCUUUCCUCCUGUCCGCUCACCUCAUCUGUGGGCUCCUCACCGGCAGAAUCUAGCCCCAGCGGGGCAAAGCAACCCCCACUGACAUUGCUUGUGGGUCAGCCCUGGACCUCGGGGCAGGGCAGCCGGGACAGCGCCGUGUGAGGUGUGCAGCCCGUGUUCUCGUGGUGAAUAAAGGCAUCUUAGAGACGUUGCUGGUUUGUGGACAGUGACGUAUAAUGUCAGGAAAACCCAUGUGCAGUGAAAACGUAAGUGAAAUUCCAGAGGCAGCCUGGAAAAGGGGGGGGGCAGGUCUCAGCAGAGCCCCUCGCCCCUCACCCCUGCAGUACCAUUCAGAGCCUCCCCAGGAGCCAGAAGACGUCCUGCAGGUGAUGAGUUCAACAGCCUGCCUGUCUACACGUGGCCCGCCCCGACGGUUGGCUGCCUCUUCCUCCAGGAGGCCCUCUGGAAUGCUCCAUUUGUAUUAAACAGCUGUCAGAGGUCACUGCCUGGCAGAGGCGGGCACCAGCACACACCGGAGGGUGAAUGGACCCAGCGUGUUCCCCGGGUGAGGCCAGAGACUGGGCUUCCCUCUGAGGCAGGGCACAUUCCUUCACUCAGUGAACCUUUGCAGGGGCCUUUCUCUGCCCAACUACAGGGCUGAGCCCCAGGGGGCCCCAUGGAGGCAAGGUUGUGCUCCAGAUGUGACGUUCAUGGCUCAACUGCACAACUGCACAGAAGUUCAGGGUGAAGCGGCCUGAGCCAAGGAUGCUUGAGAGGUUCAGGAGGAAGCGGAGUCCUUGCAGAAUGGGACGAGGGAGGGAGGUGGCCUCGGGCAGCUUUGAAGGGCAGGAAGGAGAUGGAGCCGAGGAAAAGGUGAAGAAAGGCAACAGGCAACGAGGUGACAUUGUGGCGUCCAAGGAGGCGGCCCCUGGGGAGCGUGGCUGUGUGUACACCGCACCCCGCAACCGUGGAGUCCACUGGGCGGCACCCCCACCUCGUACCAGGCAGCCACUCUUCCCUGCGGAGACUCGAGGUGGCCUCAGAGCCCUUCUCGUCACACUGUCCAGGCAGCGUCCUUCUCAGCCCCUGGCGGCUCACAGAUGACCCUGUUUGCCACCCGGACUCGGCCGGUGUUGGCAGUUUUGGACGGACCAGCUGGAAUCAGAAGUGCCAGUUCCGGAGGGGGCCUCUCUGAGCCGCCCCCGCCCCCCAGGAAGCCCAGCAGGUGGAUGGCAGGGGCCUGGGGGCAGAGUGGGUGUGUCCUUGAGCAGUGGCUGGUGGGGGCGGUCAGGACAGGCGGGUACCUGCAGCGCUGUUGGCACAGCCACAGCCCAAGGCUGGGGGGCGCUGGGUGGUGGUGCUCGUCCUGGAGGCUGGCCCCUUGCUCAGCAUAAGCUAUGUGGUCCGUGUCUGUCUGCUCUGUGGUCCUGCUGUGGGCUGUCACAUUUACAGGUGCACCACGGACUGUUCGCCUGGCCUCUUGCUCAGGGACAUGUGAGUUGUCACCGAGGUCUGCCAGCAGUGCCGCCAGGAACAUUCCAGCACGUCUUCUGGCCUCACACCUGGCAGUGGGGUGCUGGCGAGGCGGCUUCAGCUUUCAUAGAUGUGACCCAUCCCCCGCAUGGCAGGCCCGCCCCCACUCUUCCCAGCAGGUCGUGCCAGCCCUUGGGGCUGUCCGUCCUCUGCUGUUAGCCAGUGGGGUUGGGGCACUUGAUCCACCCUUGAUCUUCCGAAUGCCCCUGUGAACAAAAUGCUUCCGGGGGGGGGGAACGCUGGAUUAUCAUCAUUUACGGGACCGAAAGGGACUGUCUGAGAAGUGAAGAAGCCAGGUCGCCAGCACACACUGGAGCUGCCUCUGGAAUUUCAUUCUCAGUUCUUUCCUCAGGACCGAAACCAGAAUUCAGAAAAUGAAAUGUGGCCGGUGCGGAGAGCUGGAAGGGCCGGGGGCCUGGAGCUCCGCAGGGAGAGCCUCCAGGGCGGCUGUGGAGACCAUGCAGCCAUCAGACGCCCAGGCUCCCGCUGCCUUGUUGCUCUCGCAUUCUCCCAUGUGGCUCCCCCUCAUGAUCCAAAACAGCUGCAGAAACACCAGCCAUCGCGUGUACUUUUCAGCCAGCGGGAAGGCAGGAGAGACGAGACCACAGCUCACGGUUUAAGGACACUUACCACUACACAUGGUGCUGCUCUUUACCCUCAUGGGCCAGAACUUGGUCCCAAGGCUGCAUCCAGCUCCAAGGGGAGCUGGGAAGUGUGGUCUUGACUCUGGACAGCCAGGUGCCCACGUACAGAUUGGAGUUCUAUUACUAAGGAAAAGGGGGAAGAUGUUUUGGGGCAACACAGUCUCUGCCCCUCUGAGUAACUGGAAAGGAGGCGAUGGUGCUGCAGGCAGAGAUGACGGGGGGGGGGGGCGGUCUCUGCCCCUCAUCACUCCUGAUGAGUGCAGACACUCAUUCCUACUAGUGCCCAGCCGAGGGUGCCCUGGCGUGCGGAGAGUGUCCACAUUGGCCGCUGCGGGGGUGUGUGUGGUCACACUGCUGCCGGCGGCUGUGCAGCGCCACUGGCCUUUCGCUGGAAGCCUUGUCGUGGGAGUCGUUGUGGCUUUGGGGUCCUUUCUCCCUCAUCAGGCCUCCCCUGCCCCACCCAUCAGCGUUGGUGGGAUCUUGGUGCUGGGGGUGCAGACAGCAAUGGGCAGCUGCUGUGUGAAAUGGGGGCACCCCAGCCCCUGACCGUUGGAGCUGGAGCACCACGAUCCUCUGGUUACAACAGGGCUUGCAGCUCGGACUCGCCCAGCUGCUGUUGCUGCUGAGGGGCCAGGGCGGCGCUGGUCUGCCCCCCUGCCCCUGCCUCCCUGCCCCCGCCCCUGCCCUGCCCAGGACUUGGCAGGCUGCGAGGAUGUGUGGUUUUCCUGUGUCCGACUUUCUCUCGCUGCUCAGCUGGGCUCUGCGUCUCCAGACGCGCUGGCCUCCUUCUCUGCAU